UGAGGAAUAUUGCGCAAUGGACGAAAGUCUGACGCAGCCACGCCGCGUGCAGGAAGACACCCCUCAGGGGCGUAAACUGCUUUUAUACGGGAAGAACACCUGGUUCUGCCAGGUCUGACGGUACCGUACGAAUAAGGACCGGCUAACUCCGUGCCAGCAGCCGCGGUAAUACGGAGGGUCCAAGCGUUGUCCGGAAUCACUGGGUGUAAAGGGUGCGCAGGCGGGCCUAUAAGUCAGAGGUGAAAGCCACCGGCCUAACCGGUGAACUGCCUUUGAUACUGUAGGUCUUGAGUCCCGGAGAGGCUAUCGGAAUUCGUGGUGUAGCGGUGAAAUGCGUAAAUAUCACGAGGAACACCGGAUGCGUAAGCGGAUAGCUGGACGGGUACUGACGCUCAGGCACGAAAGCGCGGGGAGCGAACA
rnacentral:rRNA from 1 species